CCUACGGGUGGCAGCAGUGAGGAAUAUUGGUCAAUGGGCGCAAGCCUGAACCAGCCAUGCCGCGUGCAGGAAGAAUGCCCUAUGGGUUGUAAACUGCUUUUAUUUGGGAAUAAACCUCUUUACGUGUAGAGAGCUGAAGGUACCAAAUGAAUAAGCACCGGCUAACUCCGUGCCAGCAGCCGCGGUAAUACGGAGGGUGCAAGCGUUAUCCGGAAUCAUUGGGUUUAAAGGGUCCGUAGAAGGUCGUGUAGAAAGCCUACAGCUCAACUGUAGAACUGCCAUUGAUACUGUAGGACUUGAAUUCGGUCGAAGUGGGCGGAAUAUGACAUGUAGCGGUGAAAUGCUUAGAUAUGUCAUAGAACACCGAUAGCGAAGGCAGCUCACUAGGCCUGGAUUGACGCUCAGGGACGAAAGCGUGGGGAUCAAACAGGAUUAGAUACCCCAGUAGUC
rnacentral:rRNA from 1 species